CCUCCUCUGUCCUUCCUGAACUUAGACUGGGCUCUGUCUAUCCACCCUGUUUGCAGGAAGAGAAAUUUGAGGACAUCAGGUCCAGCCACAUCUGCUAUCGCAUCCUGGGUGUUGGAGGACCCUGGAGGCACUCGGGACCACUCAUCAGGCUCCCUGGAGGGCUUGGUCUUGCCACUGGCUACAAAUGUAUUAGUUCUGCCUAAGGAACAAGUUGGCAGUUCAAGGCCUCUCUCUGUCACUGACCACAAGUUCUGGAGCAGGUAAAGGUCAGGAAAUGUCAGAGGCGAUUCAUCAGGUGAUAUAUGAAAGAGUGGAAACGUGUCUCUUCCUAUUUGCCUAUAUUUUGUGGACCAAACGAUAUUCCUUAUGGAAGGACCUACACAGUUAAUGAACAGGUGCCCCUGGCCAUGGCCCAUUUUGGUUUUAUCGAACACCCACCAGCCUUCGGACAGCUUUCAACAGCAGUAUGUCAAAUACCUUAGUAACUCGAUUUCUCCUUCUAAUCUGCUACAAUGCCUGUCAACUUGGAGUACUGCUCUAUCUACUGCCAGGUGAACUCAGAAUAGAGAAUGUUCUCCACUUCCAACAUGAUGUUUUCUUGGUUAAGAAAGGCAAAAUGUAGCAAGAGAAAGUGCAUUUGCUAAAAACAAUUGUUUAGGCAAGGAACAAAAUCAAAGCUGGGGUGGGGGAAGGAAACAGGAAAAGCAAACUGAACUCUUGUACCUGACACAAAUAAGUUUCCUGGGCAUAGUUUUCCAAUUCACAAAAGGAGUUUAUAGUGUCUUUGCUCUUAAAUUGCAUAGGAAACAUAUACCUAAAGAUAUAGUUAAUAUGUUUUCAUAUAACCUGGGAAGAAAUUUUUCAUUUAUUUUAUGCAAAACACUGUUGAAAGUUCAGAAAUAAGGAAUAGAAAUAUUUCAUUAAGAGGAUAAAAUUGGGACACACUGACAAUUUGCAAACCAUCCCUCAUCCAACCUUUUAGUGUCCCAUUCCAAUCAGGAUCUCAGCUGCACCCAAGUUACCCUGGUAAGUUCUCAGCUGCACCUUAGUUACCCUGGUAACCAUCUCAAUGUUUGCACAGAGACUUUUCUGAGCUGAAGCAAGCUGCCACUUCAAUCAUUGAGGUUUUCCUUUGGGCUGGUUCUUUACAGCCAUUCUCCAAGCUCUUGUGCAUCUAGAUCCUAACUGUCUUCCUGGCUGCCAGCCGUCUGAACACCUAACUCAUCAUUUGUCUGAUACCUUCAAGUUGCCCCACUCUGGCUUGUCUGCUAGUCAGUACUACUGAUUGCUGGGACCUCCAAUUCUGCCUCUUUGGCCCAGCUUCUUGUCCAGUGUGCCCAGUCGUUAUUUCUCCACUUAUGAGCAUAAAACAGAUGAACUGUGGCCGGGGCUGUAGGUCAAUGGUAGAGCAGUUGCCUAGCAUGUGGGAGGCACUAGGUUCCACCCUCAGCACCCUAUAAAAGUAAAUAAAUAAAAUAAAGAUAUUGUGCCCACCUACAACGAAAAAUAUAAAAGUUU
rnacentral:lncRNA from 1 species